AACGAACGCUGGCGGCGUGCUUAACACAUGCAAGUCGAACGAUGAAGCCGGAGCUUGCUCUGGUGAAUUAGUGGCGAACGGGUGAGUAACACGUGAGUAACCUGCCCUUGACUCUGGGAUAACUGCGGGAAACUGUAGCUAAUACCGGAUACGACCCUCGGAGGCAUCUCCUGGGGGUGGAAAGAAUUUCGGUCAAGGAUGGACUCGCGGCCUAUCAGCUAGUUGGCGAGGUAAAGGCUCACCAAGGCGACGACGGGUAGCCGGCCUGAGAGGGUGACCGGCCACACUGGGACUGAGACACGGCCCAGACUCCUACGGGAGGCAGCAGUGGGGAAUAUUGCACAAUGGGCGCAAGCCUGAUGCAGCAACGCCGCGUGAGGGAUGACGGCCUUCGGGUUGUAAACCUCUUUUAGCAGGGAAGAAGCGAAAGUGACGGUACCUGCAGAAAAAGCACCGGCUAACUACAUGCCAGCAGCCGCGGUAAUAC
rnacentral:rRNA from 1 species